GACGAACGCUGGCGGCGUGCUUAACGCAUGCAAGUCGAACGGAAAGGCCCUGCUUUUGUGGGGUGCUCGAGUGGCGAACGGGUGAGUAACACGUGAGUAACCUGCCCUUGACUUUGGGAUAACUUCAGGAAACUGGGGCUAAUACCGGAUAGGAGCUCCUGCUGCAUGGUGGGGGUUGGAAAGUUUCGGCGGUUGGGGAUGGACUCGCGGCUUAUCAGCUUGUUGGUGGGGUAGUGGCUUACCAAGGCUUUGACGGGUAGCCGGCCUGAGAGGGUGACCGGCCACAUUGGGACUGAGAUACGGCCCAGACUCCUACGGGAGGCAGCAGUGGAGAAUAUUGCACAAUGGGCGGAGGCCUGAUGCAGCAACGCCGCGUGCGGGAUGACGGCCUUCGGGUUGUAAACCGCUUUCGCCUGUGACGAAGCGUGAGUGACGGUAAUGGGUAAAGAAGCACCGGCUAACUACGUG
rnacentral:rRNA from 1 species